GUGGUGCCCAGACCCCUGCUUAGUGUUUCCAGGGCAGUCUGCAGCCUCACAUUAACUCAGGGUUCGUUUUACACGGCCCAAGUACCAAAUUAUAAAUGAACACAGAAGACAUUUUGUAACUUAAAACUCUUUUAAUUAAAAUAUUAUAUAGAUCAAUUAAUUUAAAUAUACAUAGUCAUGGAUGCCUAGAGUCUCUUAUUAUUAUUCCUAUAGAUGACCAGAUUUCAUUAAACAAGUACCAGGUUUGGUACAAUAUAAUGAGAUACCAGAUCUGGUAGUUACCAGAUUGGGUACUAUACCGGAUUGGGUAUUAUACCAGAUUUGGUAUGAACCAUUUCUGGAACAACCGUUCUCUACACUGGCAAAGUAAUUAUAACUGUUUAACAAUAACAACAAGUGAAUUUCACCUGUAUCCGAUCCAUUUUCGGUUAUUUAUUCGUCUACAAUUAUCUACUCAAUAGAGUACUUUUCUACCAGACGACCUGAUACGAGAUGACAACGAUAUGCUAACGCGCAGUAUUUAUAGUACCCUGUGACGUCAUCACAUUAAUAUUCAAAAUGGCCGACCAGUGGCAAAUUCAGAAAUGUGACCAAAUAUUAAGCAAGAUUACAUGAAAAUAAACGUAUGUCAGCAUUUAAGAAUAGAUAAUAAACAUUUAUAUAUACAAAUGGCAUCUGAAAAUCAUAAUAAUGUGAGAUAAAAGCAGUUACAUAGAAAGUAAUCAUCAAAACAAUGCGAUGGUUCGUACUCAGAAAUAUUCGUACUCAAAGUCGGAAAAUGAAUAAAUAUUAAAGAACAUUGAUAAAAUAGCCUGAGCAUCACAUUACCCCCACCUCUCAGGAAUCGGUCCCCGAUUAAGAAGUGUGGUUACAAGUACAAAAGCAAUUAUGACUGUAGAACCAGUGCAGAUGUCUAUAAAAGAUUAUUUCAGACACACUGAACUGGGCAUGGCACAAAAUCCUGUAGAAUAAUCACAAAAUAUGUAUAUUAUGUAUUUGCUUGUGGUGUGUUUCUAUGAUAGACCUUGCAACAGAAUCGACACUUCCAUGUCACGCCAGAGUGCUGUUCUAGAAUAUGACUGUAACAUCUGCUUCGGGUUGUAAAGGAGAUAUCUCCACAAAUCUUACAUUCAAAGGGUUUCUGAAGAUAGACAAAAUAAGUUUCCUAAGAUUGUCUACAAGAGGAGCUCCUAUCAGUAGGUCAAUUGGCAACCUCAUCUGAAGUUCCAAAACAUCAUAGAGAAUGGUGUGACACCAGUAGAUUGAUGUACAGCAGUGUGAUGUGCCAUCAUGCAGAAAGGUUGUCAACAGAACAUCAACAGAUAACCUUCCAGUGUAGAGAAAACAGAACAGAAAAUUGUCAACAUAAACAACAUCUCAAUCUCAGACAAAUCUUAUCCCAAAUAUUUAACUUUUCUUUAAAUUGUCUAGCCAAUUGUCAGGAGUAUUCAACUUUUCAAA